rnacentral:lncRNA from 1 species
CGCCAUCUGAUCGCAUACUCCCUGAAGCUCUCAGUAUUCUUCUUCUUCAUACUAGUUAGGGAUUUUUCAUCAGGGAUCAUGUCACGCCUUAAAUCCUAUUAGGUUGGACUGGCACCCGUAAUCGAGGAGGCCCGGGAGAACCAGCUCAUAACCUUAUACUUCCCAUGCAUACCUCUAUGACAACCUGAAAUUCGAACAGCAUUAUGUCGCAUAUAAAAGGAAAUAAUCACC